UACGGAGGGUGCAAACGUUGUUCGGAAUUACUGGGCGUAAAGCGCGUGUAGGCGGCUUGGCAAGUCGGGUGUGAAAGCCCUGGGCUCAACCUAGGAAGUGCACUCGAAACUGCUUCGCUCGAGGACCGGAGAGGAAAGCGGAAUUCUCGGUGUAGAGGUGAAAUUCGUAGAUAUCGAGAGGAACACCGGUGGCGAAGGCGGCUUUCUGGACGGUUUCUGACGCUGAGACGCGAAAGCGUGGGGAGCAAACAGG
rnacentral:misc_RNA from 1 species